UAAAAUAUGCCAACUGUGUGCGUAACCGUGACUGUCUCUUUCGUGAGUUCCUUCUCAGAUCGAGAACACGGUGGGGUUAUGUCUGACGUAGGUAGGUGUUUAGGAUCAUUCAUUUGAUCAUGGGUAGUUCACGUCCGUUAUGCGUAGAUCUUUCCCCCUCUUAUUUCUUGUACUCGUAAGUUAGCCACCAAAUAUAUGCUUAGCCGCUGCUGCUACCUCACCACUUAACCAUA
rnacentral:lncRNA from 1 species